rnacentral:rRNA from 1 species
CAGUAGCCGCGGGAAUACAGAGGGUGCAAGCGUUAAUCGGAAUUACUGGGCGUAAAGCGCGCGUAGGUGGUUUGUUAAGUUGGAUGUGAAAUCCCCAGGCUCAACCUGGGAACUGCAUCCAAAACUGGCAAGCUAAAGUAUGGUAGAGGGUGGUGGAAUUUCCUGUGUAGCGGUGAAAUGCGUAGAUAUAGGAAGGAACACCAGUGGCGAAGGCGACCACCUGGACUGAUACUGACACUGAGGUGCGAAAGCGUGGGGAGCAAACAGGAUUAGAUACCCCUGUAGUCCCUGUCUCUUAUAC